GACGAACGCUGGCGGCGUGCUUAACACAUGCAAGUCGAACGGAAAGGCCCUGCUUUUGUGGGGUGCUCGAGUGGCGAACGGGUGAGUAACACGUGAGUAACCUGCCCUUGACUUUGGGAUAACUUCAGGAAACUGGGGCUAAUACCGGAUAGGAGCUCCUGCUGCAUGGUGGGGGUUGGAAAGUUUCGGCGGUUGGGGAUGGAUUCGCGGCUUAUCAGCUUGUUGGUGGGGUAGUGGCUUACAAAGGCUUUGACGGGUAGCCGGCCUGGGAGGGUGACCGGGCACAUUGGUACUGAGGGACGGCCCAGACGGCUACGGGAGGCAGCAGGGGGGAAUAUUGCACAAUGGGCGGAAGCCUGAGGCAGAAACGCCGCGUGCGGGAUGACGGCCUUCGGGUUGUAAACCGCUUUCGCCUGAGACGAAGCGUGAGUGACGGUAAUGGGUAAAGAAGCACCGGCUAACUACGUG
rnacentral:rRNA from 1 species